rnacentral:lncRNA from 1 species
ACCUCUGCCUCCCAUCAGGGGUGAAUAAGGCGGAAGCUGAGGGGACAGUCACAGCCAGGACAGGAAUGUCACCCCCAGCUGGCAGACAGCACUCUGAGCAGCCAGGCCUGGGAUCCUCUGACCUGCCCACUUCAGGAGGCCAGUGUGGUCACUGCCACCCCACGGUCUGGGGACCCUGGACUCCAAACUUGUAAGUGCUAGAGUGGGCAGCUGGAGGCCAUCUGGGCACUUUAAAACACAGAAGCCAGCUUCCUGGCAGUUUGAAGUGUGCUUCUCACACAUCUUCCACCAGCUUGUUUGUCUGCCUAUAUCUGAGGAUCCUUUAAAGCGAUUGAAACAAAAUUAAGGGCAGAAUGAAUCUUUGGUGAUGAAAGUGAGAAUCUGGGAGAGAUGUGAAAACUGGAAGAGAAACAGGAAGUACCUCCAGGAUUCACCUAAAUAGAUGCUGCGGUUUCUAUCAAACCACAGGCCACCCCAGCAUCUCAGUGGCUUCUAUAGGUUGUCCUGAAAGAGCCAUGAGGCCAGGGCCCUUGAUGGAUUCCCAGAUACCAGCUGCUCCUCCAGACACCAAUUCCACCCUCCACCUUUCUGUGUCCGUCCCAGACCAAGGCAGCCCAGGAAACUCUCUAGGAGGUGUGUCUCCAGGAUAGAGGGCCAGUGGAGAAUGGCAGCCCACACUGUUAUGGGAUGAAGUGUGUCCCCCAAAAUCAACAUGUUGAAGCUCUAACCCCCAGAACCCCGGAAUAAAACUAUAUUUGGAGUUAAGAUCUUUAAAGAGGUAAUUAUGUCCUAAUGAGUUAUUUAGGGCAGACCCUAAUCCAAUAGGACUGGUAUCCUUCUAAGAAGAGGAAGGCACAUCAGAGGAGAGGCCAUGUGAGGACACCAUGGGAAGGCGGCCACCUGCAAGCCAAGGAGAGGGGCCUCAGGAGAAACCAGCCCUGCUGACACCCUGAGCUCCUUGCAAUUCCAGCCUCCUAGACUGUGAGAAAAUACACUUGUGUUAUUUAAGCCCCCCAGUCUGUGGUUCUUUGCUGUGGCAGCCCUAAGAAUCUAAUACACAUGCCAACCUGUCUAGGCACAGAUGGCCCAUCUUCAGGGAAAGGAUGCAGGGGGAUCUGCAGGCCUGCCGGGGCUGAACCAGGAAGUUGUGCCCUCAGCAGUGGAGGCAGCCUCUCCCAACCCCAAGCCUCCAGCCCCUCCCCUCGUGACAUGCAUGUUCUGAGUUCAGUCUGUUUCCAAGCUCCUUCCCGUGCCUGUGGAGUCAAUGUCACCCCCAGUCUCAGGGUAUCCUUGCACUGAUACGCUCCACUACACCCUCACACCCACCCCGUGGCUUCCUGAACUGCACCCCCAAGUGAACCACUCUGCAUCUGGCUUCUCCAUCAACCACGUGCCCUGGAGUCCCUCUGAGCUGUCCAUGUGGGCAGCCUCCUUUUGAAGCCUGGAGUGGGUGAGUGUUGAGCAAAAGGUGAUGGCAGGGGCUAGAGCUCAUUUCAUUCCUGAGUAAGGGAAGCUCUAAGAUUCCUUCUGUACCAUAAGUGAGUGCUGCCCUGCCUGGGAGGGUGCACACCCUGCCCUGAGACUACUGCCUCAGAGCAUGGGCAGCUGGUCAACCUAGGCAUUGCCCAUGCCUCCCACAUGGGUGGGGGGCAGCCCCACCGCCCCUCUGUUCAUCUUCCAUUGACCUGUGGAGUCUCAGAGAUCUGUCUUGAUUUUUUUUAGACAGUCUUGCUCUGUCACCCUGGAGUACAGCGGUGCAAUCUCUGCUCAUUGCAACCUCUUCCUCCCAGGUUCAAGUGAUUAUCGUGCGCCAGCCUUCCAAUUAGCUGGGAUCACAAGCAUGCACCACCAUGCCCUGCUAAUUUUUGUAUUUUUAGUAGAGACAGGGUUUCGCCAUGUUGGCCAGGGUGGUCUCAAACUCCUAACCUCAAGUGAUCCACCUGCCUCGGCCUCCCAAAGUGCUGGGAUUGCAGGUGUGAGCCACCACACCCAACCUGUCUUGAUUUAAUAGUCAUUCAAGGUGCUCAUUUCUUGACUGAAUGACUACAAGAGCAGAUAUAAAUGAACACAUGCAAUCAGUCUUGCCCUGGGUCUGAAGUAGGAUUCUCAGCACCAGCGACAUUUGCACUGGAUCAUUCUCUGCGGUGGCACUAGCCUCUGCCCUGCAGGACGUUUAGCAGUACCCCUGGACCCCACCCACUAGACGCCAGCAACAGUUCCCUGCCCCAGUUGUGACAACCAAAAAUGUCCUCGGACAUUACUCCAAGCACCAAGGUUGGGAACCGCUGUUCUCAAGGUUUCCAAAUGCAUCUCACGCCAUAGGUCUAUGCACAGAAUAAAUGAAUCAUUCACUGUUGACCAAUGAAGGCUUUGUUUGGAGACAGGUGUUAUAACAGCAGGAAGAAAACUCCCCAAAGGAAAAGUGUGCUAUCAGCUGAAGCAUCUCCCAAGUCCAGCUCUGCACCCCCACGUGCAUCCCCACACGAACGUGUUGCCAGGAAUCAACCGAACCCCUGUUUCUCUCGCAGAAAAUUGGUGGGAGCAAUCCUCGCUUGCGUGUCAGGAUGCCUGUCCAGCUGCUGCGCUCAGCCUUGAACACCCUCCCGACCUUGGGGCUCUGCUGCCCCACGCGGAGCCCCCAUUUCAACAGAUGCAGACACCCCAAAGCCCCUUCCCAACAGCCCGAAGAGAAGCCCUCCUCUGAAGAGACAGCAGAGAAGCAGAGCCCCCUGGGACGCCCCCCAAGACCUCCACGUCUCCCCAGCACCCGGCGGGGGGGUGGUGCAUGCACUUCCCGUGGCUGCGGGAACAAACUGCCACACACAGGGAGGCUGAACACAGCAGAAGUCUAUUCCACACAGUCCUAGAAGCCAGAGGCAGUGACAUCAAGGUGCUGGACGGCCGCCCUCCCAUCGGAGGCUCUGGGAAGAAUCUGUUCCUUCCUCUUCCAGCUUCCACGACUCAGGGCAGCACCCCUGUAACCUCUGCCUCCAUGGUGAUAUCGCUUCCCCUCUUCUGUGUCAAAUGUCCCCCUGCGUCCCUCUUCACCAGAAUAAUCCCCUCAUCUCAAGUGCCUUAAUUUAAUCACACCUGCAAAGUGUUUGCCGCGUAAAGUAACAAUUACAGUUUCCAGAGAUUAAAACCUGUUAUGUUUGGAGGCCAUUAUUCUACCUACAGAGAGGGGUUGGCUUAGGACACCCAUUCUUGUUGCCGGGUAAAGCUGCCCGGGGGGCCUGGAGGAAGCCUGCUCUGUCUCUUUCAGCCCCCACAGGUACCCCAAGGGGGCCGCCACUGAGGUCCUCGGGCUCUGAUCCAAGUGUGAAGUGAGAGCAAGUUCACUCCUUUCCCUGCUGGCUCUGACACAAGUUUUCCGUGUGGCCAGGGAUGGGUGUGAGCAGCCCAGAGCAGGGGCCGGCCCA